AACGCUAGCUACAGGCUUAACACAUGCAAGUCGCGGGGUAACGAGAGGGAAGCUUGCUUUCCUUGUCGACGACCGGCGCACGGGUGAGUAACGCGUAUCCAACCUGCCCAUUACCACAGGAUACCCCGUCGAAAGGCGGCCUAAUACCGUAUGCAGUCGUCAGAUGACAUCAGAGGACGACGAAAGGAUUGGCGGUAAUGGAUGGGGAUGCGUCUGAUUAGGUAGUUGGAGGGGUAACGGCCCACCAAGCCAUCGAUCAGUAGGGGUUCUGAGAGGAAGGUCCCCCACAUUGGAACUGAGACACGGUCCAAACUCCUACGGGAGGCAGCAGUGAGGAAUAUUGGUCAAUGGGCGAGAGCCUGAACCAGCCAAGUAGCGUGCAGGAAGACGGCCCUAUGGGUUGUAAACUGCUUUUAUACAGGAAUAAAGUUAGCCACGUGUGGUUAUUUGUAGGUACUGUAUGAAUAAGGACCGGCUAAUUCCGUGCCAGCAGCCGCGGUAAUACGGAAGGUCCAGGCGUUAUCCGGAUUUAUUGGGUUUAAAGGGAGCGUAGGCCGUCUGUUAAGCGUGUUGUGAAAUGUAGAUGCUCAACAUCUGAAUUGCAGCGCGAACUGGCAGACUUGAGUGUGCGCAACGUAGGCGGAAUUCGUGGUGUAGCGGUGAAAUGCUUAGAUAUCACGAAGAACUCCGAUUG
rnacentral:rRNA from 1 species